UAUUACAAGAGAGAAGAAUACAUUGAGUGUAAAACAAAAACAGAGAGAGAGACAAAAAACAGAGUAAUAUCUGUUGUUGUCCGAUCCUAAACACUUUGAGAGUUCAAAGUCUCACAGAAUGAUGAGUCUGGUUAUACACACGACAUCGAACUUUAUGCUAGAUUGGGACUUCACUGUUACAAUCUUCAGAAGGGUACAAACCUCAGAUUUCUUGACAUUCCCAAAUACAAUACUGAGGGCACUAGGUUGUUUUCUGGGUACUACAUAACCUCGGAGGCCGUAGACACAUAUAACAACAACUCUGCAUGCACUUUUCAAACGUAUGUGCGGCAUGGUCGUGAAAUUCCAGAUAAUGGAUACUUUAUGGUGCAGACAGAACUUUCUAGACUAAAAGUUCCUACUGGCCCUCGGGCUACUCCUAUUGAGCAUGAGAGGAGAUGGGAAGAUGAAGUGAUAGAUGAUUUCUACAAAGGUG